GGGGGCCUAGCUCAAUUGGUAGAGCAACUGACUUGUAAUCAGGAGGUCAGCGGUUCGAUCCCGCUAGUCUCCACCA
rnacentral:tRNA from 1 species